rnacentral:rRNA from 1 species
GACGAACGCUGGCGGCGCGCUUAACACAUGCAAGUCGAACGGAAAGGCCUGCUUUCCCUUGUGGAUUGCGGGUACUCGAGUGGCGAACGGGUGAGUAACACGUGAGUGAUCUGCCCCCAACUUGGGCAUAAGCCUGGGAAACUGGGUCUAAUUCCCGAUAGGACUGCAGGGUGGUGCCUGUGGUGGAAAACGAUUUUCUAGUGGUUGGGGAUGAGCUCGCGGCCUAUCAGCUUGUUGGUGGGGUAAUGGCCUACCAAGGCGGCGACGGGUAGCCGGCCUGAGAGGGUGGACGGCCACAUUGGGACUGAGAUACGGCCCAGACUCCUACGGGAGGCAGCAGUGGGGAAUAUUGCACAAUGGGCGGAAGCCUGAUGCAGCGACGCCGCGUGGGGGAUGACGGCCUUCGGGUUGUAAACUCCUUUCGACCGCGAGGAAGCCACCUGGUUGGAAGGGUGGUGACGGUAGUGGUAGAAGAAGCACCGGCUAACUACGUG